GAUCCUGGCUCAGGAUGAACGCUAGCUACAGGCUUAACACAUGCAAGUCGAGGGGCAGCGCGUUGUAGCAAUACGAUGGCGGCGACCGGCGAAAGGGUGCGUAACGCGUGAGCAACCUGCCCGUAUCCGGGACAUAAGCGGUGGAAACGCCGUCUAAUUUCCCAUAACAACGAGGGCCGCAUGGUCCAUGUUUGAAAGAUGCGUCGGAUACGGAUGGGCUCGCGAGACAUUAGCUAGUCGGCGUGGUAACGGCACACCGAGGCGACGAUGUCUAGGGGAUCUGAGAGGACGGUCCCCCACACUGGUACUGAGACACGGACCAGACUCCUGCGGGAGGCAGCAGUAAGGGAUAUUGGUCAAUGGCCGAAAGGCUGAACCAGCCAUGCCGCGUGAGGGAAUGAGGCCCUACGGGUCGUGAACCUCUUUUACACGGGGACAAGGACGGCGUCGGGAACGCCGUUUGAGGGUACCGUGGGAAUAAGCGUCGGCUAACUCCGUGCC
rnacentral:rRNA from 1 species